rnacentral:lncRNA from 1 species
CACUACUAACUACAACAAGGAGGAGGUCCAAGAAAGCACAAUAAUGGAUUUCCAAAACAAGGGCAGCACCUUACACCUGUUAUGCAAUUAUUGACCCACAUAUUUUAUGGUAACAGCACUCUAGAAUUGGAAGCUAAGCAACAUACGACAGGUGUUUUCCUUCGAAAAAAGGUUUGUUAUGUUUGUGCUAAUUCACUACUCACCAGGACUACUUCAUUUACAAGUACAUAUAUAAUACUGCCUAAUAUCAUCACGCAUGCAUGCCUAUAAUGGUUUGUGUUGUUGUUGGUCCUCUCUCUUGUAAAUGAGACUUUUUAUAGUAUUGCAGUUGUUGUUGCUAUGAAACAAUGAGUUUAUUCUAAGAUUAUAAAGA